rnacentral:misc_RNA from 1 species
UGAACAUCUCAAAUCAUUUUGGAGUUGGGCUUUUUUGUUGUGAAAAUAUGGUGCUUUUGUCGCCAACACAACUGGCCUGAAAUUUGUGUCAAAACAAAUGCAAGAAAAUAUGUGGGUGCUUGUUGCUAAAGACGAAAAGCUAAUUAGUUGACCGUGGUCAAACAUUGCUGACUAGUCUUCAAAAACUAGGUAACCCACAUUCACA